rnacentral:rRNA from 1 species
GAUGAACGCUAGCUACAGGCUUAACACAUGCAAGUCGAGGGGUAACAAGAGGAAAGCUUGCUUUUCUUGUUGACGACCGGCGCACGGGUGAGUAACGCGUAUCCAACCUGCCUAUAACUAGGGAAUAACCUUGCGAAAGUAAGACUAAUACCCUAUGAUUUCCUUUGAUGACAUCAGAUUAGGAAUAAAGAUUUAUCGGUUGUGGAUGGGGAUGCGUCUGAUUAGCUUGUUGGCGGGGUAACGGCCCACCAAGGCAACGAUCAGUAGGGGUUCUGAGAGGAAGGUCCCCAACAUUGGAACUGAGGCACGGUCCAAACUCCUAUGGGAGGCAGCAGUGAGGAAUAUUGGUCAAUGGGCGGAAGCCUGAACCAGCCAAGUAGCGUGCAGGAUGACGGCCCUAUGGGUUGUAACUGCUUUUAUACAGGAAUAAAGUUAGCCACGUGUGGUUAUUUGUAGGUACUGUAUGAAUAAGGACCGGCUAAUUCCGUGCCAGCCGCCGCAGUAA